ensembl:lncRNA
AGAAAUGACCACGUCUGUUGGUCAUCAGAAAACCCAAUUCUAGAUUUAACAAAUACAGUAGAAAAUAAAUUCAGCUGCAGAUAAUUUAUAGAAUGCUUCCUCCCCAAGUGAAAAUUUCACUGUAAGAUUUUCCUAAAUAAUAAAUUCCCCCUAAAUAGUUAAAACAAGAUCCAACUUAGAAGAAAACUAUUUCCCUGCAGGGCAUAUUUAUACUAACUUUUCCCACCUGAGCUUUGUGCCAAAGCAGCAUGGGAGGACAUUAGCUGUUCAACAGGCAUAGCUGCAGUGGGAAGGAGCCUGGGUCUAGAGUCAGGAACCAGGAGACACCGACUCCCCACAUCAGUGGUCCUGAGAGUCAUCUGGUCACAGUGCUAUGUGGCUUUAGAGUUUAUAAAAUGCUUCCACAUUGUGAGAUUCAACUGAGGGAAGAGUUUGGACCUGACCAUCUCUUCAGUAUCUAUUUCUAAACGGUAAUUCUCCAAAAAGUUGUAGAAGAAGUUUCUUAUAUAUCAGUGUUGUAGAUCUAAAAAAGGUAGAAAGAACUAAGCUUGGCAACCAUGGCGUUGUGCAAAAAAUAAAAACAAAAAUGCAUGUCAUCUCCGGGCUGGGCUACUUUCUGUCGGGCAGUUUAUUGCCUUGUUUUUAGCCUGGCUAAUUAUAGAUUUUCUAAAUACCAUGCGGAUUAACAUGCUCUAUGUUUACAAGUACAUAAAGUGUACACUGAGCAAAACAGUGGACUUCCAAAGUGGGCGGGGAAUGCACCUCAGGGCUUCUGGCAGGACUGUCAUUAGAAUCUCUGUCUGUCACAGACACUGGGGCAUUAGGCAUGUGGGACAAGUCCCCUCAUCUAGGUUUUAGAGGGCUAGUUUUGACAGGAGGGCAUGUAGCAGCCUGACAAGGUCUCAUCCACACCUUUGUUUGAGAGAAGGAGGGAUUAUGGGGGAUGGAAGGGUAAGAGCAGCUCCUACGUGUGUGGUUGGUUUCCUCAGCAAAUGUAAAUAUUGAAUGCUUGCUACGUGUUAGGCUGGGCGCUGUGCUGGGUUAAGGGGAAAACAAAGAUGGAUUAUACCCAGAGCCUCACCAAUACUAGACUGAUUGAUCUGACUAUUUGAUUGAUUUAUCUUUUUAGGACUGCACCUGCAGCAUCUGUCGUGGAGCAGUGGAAAUGAAUCUGACUAGGAACCAUUAGGUUGCAGGUUCAAUCCCUGGCCUUGCUUAGUGGGUUAAGGAUCUGGCGUUGCUGUGAGCUGUAGUGUAGGUCACAGACUUGGCUCGGUUCCUGUGCCUGCCCCCCAGCCACAGCCGUGCAGAAUCAGAGCCUCAUCUGGAACCUACACCACAGCUCAUGGCAAUGCUGGAUCGGUAACCCACUGAGUGAGGCUAGGGAUUGAACCCACAUCCUCAUGGUUACUAGUCAGAUUCUGAGCCACAGCGGAACUCCCAUAUUAGACUUAGAUGAUGAGAUUUGACACUCCUGAGCUGUGUCUGUGGUGUAGGCUGGCAGCUGUAGCUCCGAUUCAGCCUCUAGCCUGGGAACUCCAUAUGCUGCCAGUGCGGCCCUAAAAAAAAAAAAAAAGACACACACACACACAAAAGAAAAAAGUAUUGAUGUACUUGGAUAAUUACUUUAGAUAAUUACUUCUCUGGGAAUAUGCUUUUCCAAGUUUAUUUAAGGGCUAGGUAGGAAUUUAUUGAAGUUCUCUGAAAUUAAUGUUUUUAUGGUAGGCAAAAUAAUGGCAAAUCCCAAAGAGUUUUAUGUCCGGUUCCCCCGAAUCUGUAAAUGCGUCACACUGCAUGGUAAAGGGGAAUUAAGAUAGAAGAUGGAAUUAAGUAUUUUAGGACCACAGAAAUUGUUUCUAGAGUUUAAAAGGUUCAUAGAGAGAAAUGUGCCUCAAGAUGGAUUAUACCCAGAGCCUCACUAGAUGGAUCGAUUGAUCGAUUAUUUGAUUGAUUUAUCUUUUUUUUAAAAAUCAUUUAGGCAUUUAUUCUUACAAUUGUCUAAGCAGAUUUAAUUUUUAAUUUUACAGUAAAAUAGCUGGUUAGGCAGUAAUGCUGGAAUUUAAAACUUGGCCAUUGAAUCCCACACUCCACUUACUAACAGCUUUGCUCUACUUCCCAAAUUUAAAAAUGGAAUACUUUUGAUCAUAUUCCAAAUAUAUUUUAAUUAUAGGUAUUCUAAAAAUGUAGUACUUGACAUCUGGCAAAUCAUGAAGACUCGCUGGAUCUUAGUUGCUCCAUCUUUAAAAUAGUGAUGGUUGGGAGUUCCCUGGUGGCCUAGUGGUUAAGGACUUGGCAUUGUCACUGCUGUGGUUUGUAGUCACUGCUGUGGUUUGUUGUCACUGCUGUGACUGGGGUUUGACCGGUGACCUGGGAAUUUCCCCAUGUGGUUGUUAUGGCCAGAAGUAAUAAAACAUAAAAUAAAAUGGUGAUUAUUUUAUUUUCCUGUGAUAUCACACAUUUGUAUGUUAUCUCUUGCCAUCACAAUCAGCUCUAAUAUAGUCUCACUGUGCCCAGUUAGUAUUUCGCAGCUUAUUCCAACUUCUUUAUUACUUUGUCUCUGGUGCAAGUUGCUUAACUUCUGUGCCUUACUUUCCUGUCUAUAAACUGGCGGCAACAGCAGAAAUUGCAUAUUAGAGUUAAAGGAAUGAAAUGAGUUAAUUCAUCUAAAGCUAUGCCUGACUCAUGUUAAAUGUUAGCUAUUACUCUUGUUGUUUUAAUUGUUAUUAAAACUACUUUCACAUACAUACAUGUUCCUGCUUGAUCUUCCCAGUGUUGCUGAGGGUAUAGACAGGGUAGAUUUCAUUAAACCCCUUUUAUAUUAGAGAGAAUCAAGAAUUCGAGAGGUAAGGGACUUACCCAAGGUCACGGGAGCUCUCAUGUGGCCGAAGAGAACAGGAACAGUAGGUCUGUUUAACCCCAUCUUUUAUGCACAUAUAUGAGAGAAAUGACCAGGUCUAUCAGUCAUCAGAAAACCCAAUUCUAGAUUUAACAAAUACAGUAGAAAAUAAAUUCAGCUGCAGAUAAUUUAUAGAAUGCUUCCUCCCCAAGUGAAAAUUUCACUGUAAGAUUUUCCUAAAUAAUAAAUUCCCCCUAAAUAGUUAAAACAAGAUCCAACUUAGAAGAAAACUAUUUCCCUGCAGGGCAUAUUUAUACUAACUUUUCCCACCUGAGCUUUGUGCCAAAGCAGCAUGGGAGGACAUUAGCUGUUCAACAGGCAUAGCUGCAGUGGGAAGGAGCCUGGGUCUAGAGUCAGGAACCAGGAGACACCGACUCCCCACAUCAGUGGUCCUGAGAGUCAUCUGGUCACAGUGCUAUGUGGCUUUAGAGUUUAUAAAAUGCUUCCACAUUGUGAGAUUCAACUGAGGGAAGAGUUUGGACCUGACCAUCUCUUCAGUAUCUAUUUCUAAACGGUAAUUCUCCAAAAAGUUGUAGAAGAAGUUUCUUAUAUAUCAGUGUUGUAGAUCUAAAAAAGGUAGAAAGAACUAAGCUUGGCAACCAUGGCGUUGUGCAAAAAAUAAAAACAAAAAUGCAUGUCAUCUCCGGGCUGGGCUACUUUCUGUCGGGCAGUUUAUUGCCUUGUUUUUAGCCUGGCUAAUUAUAGAUUUUCUAAAUACCAUGCGGAUUAACAUGCUCUAUGUUUACAAGUACAUAA